GGAGAGGUGCGAGAGCGGCCGAAUCGGACGGUCUCGAAAACCGUUGUCCUGAAAGGGACCGUGGGUUCGAAUCCCACCCUCUCCGCCA
rnacentral:tRNA from 8 species